rnacentral:misc_RNA from 1 species
CACUCAACCAUCCAAAGGACAAGAAGGACAAGACAAAAACUCUAUUUUAUUCGGAACACAACUUAACACAUCAGAAAAGGAAAGCCUAAACAUGAAUAUGCCAUAGAAGACGUCACUUAUUGAGAAUAACAUUGCACCAAACCACAUGGAGAAUCUACGAAACAACACUGGUUUAAGACGACAUUCAGAAAAUAGCAUCCGUUUUUCAAGCAAUUCCUAAAACAACACUCUAUUCGUAUCUUGCAUUCUUUUAUUGCCUCACACCAUAUGCAAAUCGAUCAAAUUACCGUCAUUCGUUUCGGAGUCCUCUUUCUUUUAAUCUCUUCUGUCCAUAAGAAAAACAUAAACGGAUAAAAUAUCCAAUUUUAUAUUGUUAAACAUACAAAUAGACACAUGUUUUUUAGCAAGGAAGAAGUUUAGAUUUAACCGGCUAUACUUCCUUCGCUUUUUUUAUUUGAUGUGGUUGUUCUUUUUUUUUUCAAGAACUUCAAUUAGCUCGAUCGGCAGUUUUUACUUUGACGAGAAUUUAUCUUAAUCUAGACUCGAUAUGUACUGUUCAAAUGUGCAGAGCAAUGAGUUGGUUUUGGAUUAGCUUGUGCAAUGCGCACGGUCCCAUUGCCACCGAGUACGCACGCGGCGCGGCUUGAUCAACGAAGAGCAAGAAGAGGAAUUAAUAAAUGCAACGUAGCUAAACGACGAGCGGGGGGAGGAGAAGAUCUGAUGCGUGGACGUGGGUGCAGAUCUGCAGGAACGACCUUAACCACCGGCGCCAUGAAUGAACUCGCGAUCAUUGCCGAAGCUUCGUCAUCAAUAGCUCCCGGACCCGCACAAAACCCGGGCAGUGACCACAUGGCAAUGGCAAUGGGAAUGGGAUUGGCAUGGGGACGAAACCAAUCAAGCAUCCCGGUGGGCGCACGCAUCCGUCCCGCCGCCGCGCCCGGCCGGGACCGCGGCCCGGAUCGAAUCAGGUGGUGUGGUGGAGGAGGAGGCGGCGGCGGCGGAGGGCUGCUUGUUUGGACCCGCUCCGCUGGCUGCGGGAUGGAUACACCGUCCGAGACGAAGGGAGGACG